rnacentral:rRNA from 1 species
UACGUAGGGUGCAAGCGUUGUCCGGAAUUAUUGGGCGUAAAGAGCUCGUAGGCGGCUUGUUGCGUCGACCGUGAAAACCCGUGGCUCAACUGCGGGCUUGCGGUCGAUACGGGCGGGCUAGAGUUCGGUAGGGGAGACUGGAAUUCCUGGUGUAGCGGUGAAAUGCGCAGAUAUCGGGAGGAACACCAGUGGCGAAGGCGGCCACCUGGACGGAUACUGACGCUGAGACGCGAAAGCGUGGGUAGCAAACAGG